rnacentral:rRNA from 1 species
CAGCCGCCGCGGGAAUACAGAGGGUGCGAGCGUUAAUCGGAUUUACUGGGCGUAAAGCGUGCGUAGGCGGCUAAUUGAGUCGGAUGUGAAAUCCCCGAGCUUAACUUGGGAAUUGCAUUCGAUACUGGUUAGCUAGAGUGUGGGAGAGGAUGGUAGAAUUCCAGGUGUAGCGGUGAAAUGCGUAGAGAUCUGGAGGAAUACCGAUGGCGAAGGCAGCCAUCUGGCCUAACACUGACGCUGAGGUACGAAAGCAUGGGGAGCAAACAGGAUUAGAUACCCCCGUAGUCCCUGUCUCUUAUAU